rnacentral:rRNA from 1 species
UACGUAGGGUGCAAGCGUUAAUCGGAAUUACUGGGCGUAAAGGGUGCGCAGGCGGUUAUAUAAGACAGAUGUGAAAUCCCCGGGCUCAACCUGGGAACUGCGUUUGUGACUGUAUGACUAGAGUACGGUAGAGAGGGGUGGAAUUCCUGGUGUGGCAGUGAAAUGCGUAGAUAUCAGGAGGAACAUCGAUGGCGAAGGCAGCCCCUUGGACCUGUACUGACGCUCAUGCACGAAAGCGUGGGGAGCAAACAGG